rnacentral:tRNA from 1 species
GUUUUAGUAAUUUAAUAAACAAAAUAUAGCUCUGAAGAAGCUAAAAUAAUCUUUUGAUUCUAAAACA